UCGUAUCGUCCCGGAAACACCGCACAAGGAAGUUCAUUCCACAGCUUUGUAGCACGUGGAAGAAAGCUCCUUGAAAACCGCACUGUGGAGGACCGCCACACAUCCAGAUGGUGGGGAUGAUAUCCUAACUUGUGGCGUGUCGUGCGAAGAAUGACGUUAUAUGACAGAAUUUUGUUUGUCUUGUACUUCGCUCCUUAUAACGGAAUACGGAUUACAAUGAUUUUGGUUAUCUGUGACUAAUCAAGCGUCGUUUGUAUGUUAGCGAAUCCUUAAGUUAUUCGAUAGUCAGAAUUCAUUCAUGAUAGUGGUUGUAUGGAAUCUUGAAUAGAAACUGCUGUUUUCUUCAGAUUAACAUGUUUUUUAUUGGGCUAUUUACAGUCUUUAAUACAGUUAAAUAUAAAAGUUGAAAGUUGCUUCUUAAAAUAUAAUCGUUUAGGGUGUACAUGAGUUAAUGAGAGGAUACGGUACGCACGUGUUACUGGUGUUGAAAACGCGGCAUUCAGUUUGUGUCGUAGGUACUAAUAAUUACAUUUUUUUGUUGAAGAGCAACAACUAUGUAGUGCUUAUGGUAAUAUUAAAACAACUUGUGUGUAACAUAUUUAUUUUAAUUUAUGAUUCAAUUAUUAUUCUUAUUACUUAUACCUUUAUUUAUAUUCAUAUUGUUCUAUAUUUCAAAAUUUUAUUUACUCAGCUUAGUUUUACCCUUCAUGCCAAUCGGUGUUAAGAGAUAUAGGAAAACUAUUUAUGGAUAUAUAGAAUCACGUAUGAAACGAUAUAGUUGGGUUCGUUAUAGUCUCGAUAAUUUUGAGAUGUGUGGUGAAGAUUGAACUAACGUCUUCUAUAGGUGUCUUAUUAAUGCUGUACGUACAAUCGACAAAAUUUAAUCGUGACCCACAUAAGUCAUUUUCCUACAGUCAUAAUAAACAAACUGGCGUCAACAUACGUUUUCGAAGUAACUUUAAUCAUAUUAUCAGAUACUGACGGUCAAUCAAUUGUCAUAGUACAUUAUUUUUCGUGAAAACGAUUGUAAUGACUAAAUUUUGUCGAUGGUACAUUAACAUCUAGGUUUUAAUAUUAUUUAUAAUUAUUAUAGCUUGGGCCCUUAAAUAGGUAACGAUAUAUAACUAUUGUAUAUAGAAAUAAUUACAUGAUUUUGACUCGGAAUUAGGUUUUAAAGAUACUUCUGUAAAAAGCUGUACAAUUUAUUCGGCGUCAUAUAAGGCCGUGUAGUGCGUUUCGGAUCGCUCUUUGUCUAUUCAGUAAACAACAUCAAAGGCGCUAUUUGGUCGAUAUCAUGUAUUAAAAUAAAUUUUUGUACAGCUUAAAUUGAAAUGUUAUUUAAUAUAUUGUAAUAUAAAUUGUUGCAUUUUCUGGUGGUUGAAACGAUGGACGUCCAAGUAUAGAAUGAAGUUCCAUCACAUCUCUUUUCAAGGCGGAAAUCGGACAGCCAGGAUCAUGGCUCUGGACUCACUCACUCUUGCGAUAUAUUGUAUGUGAACGAGUGAACUACAGAUCGCGUGCCUGCGAUCAGUGGCGUCAUCCGAUUCCCCUCUUGUGAACAUUCUGAGCUGCGGAACGCUGGACGAUGUAGAUUUAUAUUUUGCUGUAUAAUAAGUGUAUAUAAUAUGCAACUGUUAAUUGUAAAUUAUUGUAAUAAAGUUUAAUGAUAA